UUCGAGUGGCGGACGGGUGAGUAACGCGUGGGUAACCUGCCUUACACAGGGGGAUAACACCUGGAAACAGGUGCUAAUACCGCAUAAGCGCACAGGGCCGCAUGGCCCGGUGUGAAAAACUCCGGUGGUGUAAGAUGGACCCGCGUCUGAUUAGCUUGUUGGCGGGGUAGGGGCCCACCAAGGCGGCGAUCAGUAGCCGGCCUGAGAGGGUGGACGGCCACAUUGGGACUGAGACACGGCCCAAACUCCUACGGGAGGCAGCAG
rnacentral:rRNA from 1 species